UGUAUGUGUGUCUUUCUAGGCUGUGUGUGUAGGUGUGUAUAUGUAUCUUUGUGUGUUCAUGUGUGUGUCUAUGUCUAUUGUGUGUGUAUGUCUUUGUGUGUAGGUUGUAUAUGUGUGUGUAGGUGUGUAUAUGUAUAUAUGUGUGUCUGGUUUUUUUUGUGUGUGUCUGUGCUGGAGGGAGCUGGCACCACAGGCAGCGUCUGGGAGCCUCGGGGCACCUCUGGGUGGAGCGUUGGACAGUCCUGAAGGGAGCUGGCACCACGGGCAGCGUCUGGGAGCCUCGGGGCACCUCUGGGUGGAGUGUUGGACAGGAAGCCGGGAGGAGGCUUGUUUGGAUUUCUGGCCUGUUUCCCCAGCACCAUGUUUAGACCCUGGUAAACAAAUGACUAAGCCCUUAGACUGCCUCUUCCAUCUCCAGGUCUCAUGUGGGGUCACAGCUUCUCCCUAAGAACGGCUAAGGAGGUCACGGCAGGUCAGCUAUGGCUUGGACUUUGGACUUAGCAGGCCUGACAUCACCGGGUUAGGGGGCACACACACAAUGACGUCACCUCCAGAUGUGGGGCCCUGUGGAUCCCUGCACGUCUGUGGUUUGCAGGCUGAUGAGCCGGGUUUUUUCUGGGAAGGCAAAUCUUCCACAUCUGGGAAGAGUCCGAUGCACACAGAGCGCCCUUCCCCUGCUCGUUCAUCAGCAGAUGCGACGCUGCUGACCAUCCUUGCUGGAAAUGGUCAGCAGAUGAUGGAGGAACAGGCCCCGGGGGUCCCAGGCCCAGCUCCGUGAAUAAGCCCCAUCCUCAUGAGCAACACAGAUCCAUGCCUCCCCGAGACCAGGGGCUCCUGAGGGCACAGGCCGCGGCUCAUCCACUCACAGUAUUGUUUUUAAAGUCCAGCUCUCAUCCCGGGGCCCAGCACAGUUCCUGACAUGCGGGAGUGUCAGUCAGCACUUGUCCAAUCUCUCAUCCUUGAACACAUAUUUAUUGAGGGCAAUGUUCUAGGCACUGGCGAUGCCUCAGUGAGCAAAACAGACCCUGCCCCAGAGAACUUCCCUUCUAGUCAGGUGGGUGUGGAGGGACAGGUGGCAAUCAGUUAACAAUAAGCAUCAUCAAUACUAACAUCACAUCGAAUGCUGGAAGAUGAUAUGUGUUAUGGAAAAAGACGUUGAACAGGGUGAGGGCCCCAGGGAAUUGGAGGGUGGUGGGGUGAGCUAGGUGCGGGGUUAAACCAGGUGGUCGGGGGAUCGGAGGAGUGUGGCAUGCACAGAGCUGCGGAGGAGACUUGCUGGCAGAGGGAAGGGGCAGGCAAAGGCUGUGGCAGGGAGACCCCUGAGCUGGGUGAGCAGGGAGCAGCAGGAAGAGGAGGGGCCAGGGCACAACACAGUUGGGCCCUCCAGGGCAUCCCAGGCCACUGUGAAGACGGCUUAUCCUGCCAGUGGAGAAGGAAGGCUUUGCUAUUCUUAAGCCAAAGAGUGAAAUGCCCUGGUUUGGGUUUGGUGACAGAGCAGAGGGCAGAGGCCAUGAGCAGAGCUAUCAUGAGCGACCUUGAGCCAGUGCCUCAUCCUGGGUGCCUGGAGAAUAAGCUUCUCCCCAGGAGGGCUGCAGCCAAGCUCACUGAAGACAUGGGAAUCGCACUGCUGUUUCUGUUUCU
rnacentral:lncRNA from 10 species